rnacentral:lncRNA from 1 species
CCAGGUUGUGCAUCGCUUUUUCUGGACAGGUUAGCUAACCUGCACCUACCAAUUUUGUACAUUAGAAGAAAUCUGAACCGCAAUUUUCAUACUUGAGUAACUGAAUUUUAUUGAUCCAAAUGAUAAUAUUGUAAUCUAUACGGACUUCCUGUGACCAACUCAUCUUCUAUACAGACGUCCUGACUGGUUGUGAUUCUGAUCAGCGAGAAGAAAAUAUACAAUUCAUUGUUGCACUGUUAACGCUAGCAUCAAGAGGUUGUUCAUGUCAUCAAAAUGUGCAACAAGAAUGAAAGUGCAACUACACUGCAGCUUCUUUCAGGUAUGCAGAGUAUGUCCUCUCAUACACCCUCUGCUUAAUUUGUCAAUUAUAUCCUAAAGAUAUGUGUUCACCAGGUACAAAGAACAUCUUAUUGGGAUAAAAAAAUAUGUUCAUCUUACCAGUGUUCAUUCCCUAUUUUAUUCUCUAUGGAACCCUCUCCUUAAUUAAGACAUGGUAUCCUUUAAAAGAAAUGUAAGACAUGGAAGGUUGAGUUUGUGGAAGUAUCAUCACAAAUGAUAGCGAGCAAAUUGAUAUUGGCAACACGUAGACCAGAAAGCGUUCCAGGUGAGAAAGCUGCCCUUAGUUGUCAAAAAUUUAUUAUUGUCUUUAAUUAGUGCCAAUAAAAAUUGUCUUCUUACCGGAAUCAUUAUAUUCGGCGUUCUCUUUCCUCUUAGGUUCAUGCUGCCUACACAUGCAUCAUAUUCAGGGCAUCUAGAAGUGCAAGUUGCAAGGUGUUCAGAAUACAUCAUCAAUAAAUAAAAGGAACAGUCAGAGAGUAAAAGUUCCAGGACUGGUUAAGAUAUAUUAACACGUUGAUCAUUUUGUAGUAAAUUUUCUUCUCCUGCCCUGCAGUUUGUCCGUAACAUUUCCCUUCUCUUGCACAUAUAAGAGACACUAGAAAUAAUUAUUACCUUGUAUAUGCUCUUUUUUGCUUCAUCCGCUCAAGUGAAUUGGAAGAACUUUAUAUUAUAUUUAAGCCUAUUUAUCUCUGAAAUAUCAAUAUGGUGUUGUAUCACUUGACGAUUCCAUAACAUACAACAAUGUUGAAGUGUUACUUGCUCAUAUGUAUGGUGUUAGCAUUUCUAUCUUUUUAUGGUUAUUUCCCUAUUUGUAGGAAACAAUAUUAAGUUUAAUGCCAAGGUAACAAAACAUGCAUUAUUAUUUGGAAUGAAGGCCCCCUUGAUUCUUAAGAUCUUUAGAUGAGUGGUUGUUCAAUAUGUUGUGGGCCUUGAUUUCUAGAAUGGUCUUUUCGUUACAUUAUAUUUUAGAAUAAACAGUUGUUACAUUUCUUGGGAUCAUGCAAGUUUAAUGCUUGAAGUGAUCUACAUUUUUACCGUUAUUGUUCAGGUACCCACCCAUGUGUGCAUUUAAUUUACUGUUAAUGCUUCCAUUUCAACAUCGAUGUUAUUUUGGCUAGGUGAAAGCAGAUAGUUUAUGCUCCAUGGAGAGGUUCCUUUUGUUUUUUGGAUUAGUGCACGCCAUUAACUAAUUGUGUGCCUACCUUCUUUGUGAUAGUUUGAUAUUGGUUAGACUCAGUUCGAACACUUUAUGCAAGUUUUAUAUAUGAUAUGUAAGAUGUUGUGUGACUUCUUUUUGUCAGCCCUACACCUCCUAUCCUAGCUGGUGUACCAAGAUGUUAAUUAGAGAGUACUACUAAACAUGCACUGUGUUAUAUAUUAAUUGGUUGCAUGCCAUGUUGAGAACUUGCUUUCUUAGUUCUGAAUCCCGGGAUCUCUUGCCUGGUUCUAUUUGUUAUGGGCAAGACGCGGACCCGUGUCACUUUUCCUCUAAUAUUUCUACCAUUCUUUCAUCAAGAUGGAUGGCCGCUGCAAUACACGUCUUUAUUUUCUGUACCUGCAUGCUCUUGUUACGUGUGGCCAUAUGUCCAAAACAUUGCAUCUCAGUGUUGGCCAGGGAAUCCAGAUUGUUGUUAUAUAGGUGAUCUAUAUGAUAGCUUCAAGAUCAGCCUCAACAAUUAAUGGGAGGUUUAUCCUACUAAGAUAUUCAUGUGGAAAAUGGAAAAUAUAUUAGAUAUCCCGAGUUUUGAAUGCCAAAAGUAUUAAUUCCAAAGUUGUUUUCAUUUGUGUAGGCUUACCCGAGUCAACCAUCAAUUUCAAUAAGCUUGGAAAUGAUACAAUGGUUGUUUAGAGUAAGUUCUGCAUUGGUGUUAUACUGUUGUACAUUGGCGUGUAAAAUAUUUUGUGCUCUGAUGGUUGUAUUAAAUCACCUUUAUUUCCUCCUCUGUUCUAUUCCAGUGUUCAGGGCUUCCUGAGAAAUGACCAGAACCAAUGUUCAAUGCAACUGUUUGAUGGUCUCAAGGAAAGUGAUGUUGAAGAAUCAAGCGUGUUGCUCAAUCAUCAUCCACUAAUUAUCUUGACCAUGUUGUAUGUCUUUUGAAUUAUUCAGUUAAAAGGUCAUCGAUUACUAAAUUGUGUCUCAGGAACAUGCGAAUUCGAAAUAAGGACAUCAAAUGAAAGAAUAUGAGCUUUCUCAACUAUGCUAUUACCAAUGAAUAUUCAAUUAUUCCAUUACUUAAGAAACAAACUUAUACAAAUAU